rnacentral:rRNA from 1 species
UACAGAGGUCCCAAGCGUUGUUCGGAUUCAUUGGGCGUAAAGCGCGCGUAGGCGGCUUUGCAAGUCGGGUGUGAAAUCCCCAGGCUUAACCUGGGAACUGCAUUCGAGACUGCAUUGCUAGAGUAUGGGAGAGGGAAGUGGAAUUUCCGGUGUAGCGGUGAAAUGCGUAGAUAUCGGAAGGAACAUCAGUGGCGAAAGCGACUUCCUGGACCAAUACUGACGCUCAUGUGCGAAAGCGUGGGGAGCAAACAGGG